UAUGUUAUGAUUAGUGUUGCUAUGGUUAUUGCGAACGUGACUUGGAGCUGAGGUUUUGGUUGCCGUCGGUUCGAGUUGAGGUGGAAAGGAUUUUGUGACACGUUUAGGCUAUGGUUUUACGUUUUGAGGAUAUGGCGCAGAAGUUAUGAAGAGUUCAUUUAGUUGUUCUUGAGAUGCUCUGUAUUGCU